rnacentral:rRNA from 1 species
UACAGAGGUCUCAAGCGUUGUUCGGAUUCAUUGGGCGUAAAGGGUGUGUAGGUGGCGCCGUAAGUCGGGUGUGAAAUUUCGGAGCUUAACUCCGAAACUGCAUUCGAUACUGCCGUGCUUGAGGACUGGAGAGGAGACUGGAAUUUACGGUGUAGCAGUGAAAUGCGUAGAUAUCGAUAAGGAAGACCAGUGGCGAAGGCGGGUCUCUGGACAGUUCCUGACACUGAGGCACGAAGGCCAGGGAGCAAACGGG